CUCCUUCGUUCCCUUUUCGUUCUGUAAGCUUUUCGCGUUCUCCUUUUGGGUUCGUCUGGAUUCGGCGGAAAGGUUUGUGCAGAAAACUUUCGAUUUCUAUCUCCUUUUCAAUUUCCUUUUUGAUCUCCUUUUCAAUUUCCUUUUCGAUUUCCUUUGUCUCCUUUUUGAUAUAUAUGGAUGGGUUUGGGUUUCAUUUUCAUUCAUUCGCUUUCUCUCUCUCUCUCUCUCUCUCUCUCUCUCUCUCUCUCUCUCUCUCUCUCUCUCUCUCUCUCUUUCUUUGUUGUUUGUUUUGGGGUUGUCUCAGAUGGCUGGUAGGUUUGUCUCAGACUGGUUGCAAGGAUUUGGGAGGUAACUGGUUAUCUGAGUUCGUCUUGAUUCCAAGUGCCGGGAAGAACUUCUUGGCGUUUCAAGGUCAGGGUUACAAGGAUUUGGGAGGUGACUGGUUAUCUGAGGGAAUGGUUCUUCUUGAUGCUAAGGGUGGAAAAAUUCACACUACUGUUCGGAAGCAGCUGCUAUACCUGUUUCAGAGGAAGUUGGAGGAAAGACUUGUCUAUGUUUUGUUUGUGGUUGAUGCCAAGGAUUUGAUAUUAAUUCUUUGUUUCAUUUCAAGCUUCCAUGGUUAAAGUUACACUAUAGACCAUCUGGUACCAUUCUUGCUUUUGAUUGUUUGCUCUAAAUCUCCAGUGGCAAGUUUUCGCUAAAAUCGGUUUUGAUGUUGGCUGAUCAGAUGGUAAUCAUUCAUUCAUUUCAUGACUUGUUACAUAUUUAUAGCAGGAACACAUAUCAUAUAAGUGCUUAUGUAUAUGCUAUUUUUAUAAAGAAAGAUAAAAUAAACUCAAACUGUUUUCAUAUAAGCUGUUUUCGACUGAAAACAGCUUGUGGACAUGUAAUAAGCUGUUUUCACAAGCUCUUCCAAAUAGCCACAGAAAUACUUAUGUCAGUAGAUAAACUAAAAUAAGUUGAUCCAUACAUAGAAUAAGC